CUAUUUUUACCAUGCAAAUCUGCAAUCUGUAAAGAGAGCUUCAUGCCCCUUGUGGAGAUCUAGGCUCAGACUGUUGGCUGGAAAGAGCUGAUUUUCACUGGGGCUGGAUCUGGAAUUCUCUACAGUAAAGAGUCCAGAAAAUAUGAUGCUGGCAUGCUUAUCCCAUGAGACGACUUGGCCCACAAAGCACAAACACUAAACUCGAAC
rnacentral:lncRNA from 1 species